rnacentral:rRNA from 1 species
CCUACGGGGAGCAGCAGUGGGGAAUAUUGGACAAUGGGCGAAAGCCUGAUCCAGCCAUGCCGCGUGUGUGAAGAAGGCCUUCGGGUUGUAAAGCACUUUCAGUGGGGAAGAAAGCCUUGGGGCUAAUACCCUCGAGGAAGGACAUCACCCACAGAAGAAGCACCGGCUAACUCCGUGCCAGCAGCCGCGGUAAUACGGAGGGUGCGAGCGUUAAUCGGAAUUACUGGGCGUAAAGCGCGCGUAGGCGGUCUGAUAAGCCGGUUGUGAAAGCCCCGGGCUCAACCUGGGAACGGCAUCCGGAACUGUCAGGCUAGAGUGCAGGAGAGGAAGGUAGAAUUCCCGGUGUAGCGGUGAAAUGCGUAGAGAGCGGGAGGAAUACCAGUGGCGAAGGCGGCCUUCUGGACUGACACUGACGCUGAGGUGCGAAAGCGUGGGUAGCAAACAGGAUUAGAUACCCCAGUAGUC